UUCAAACUAAAUCUGUGCAUGUACACAUAUCUAAAGGAUCCUUUAAGACCAAUUCCCAAAGAUAAGGGACAUUUUCUUCAUUUAUGAUUCACCUGACAAACUCUACUAGUCCAGUGUGUGCAAAGUGUAUUAGGUUUCAGAGCAGGGCUUGAUUGCGUUACACAUGGCGGCGCCGGCAGAUAUGGCGAAGGUUGAGGGAUGCGAUACAUCAAUGGCGAAUACUGUAAGGAUAUAUAUUGGUGGUUUAGGCGAAAGUGUGACGGCUGAUGAUUUGAAGAAAACAUUCUCAACACCACAACUUGGAAAAGUGGAAUCUAUGGAUAUUGUGAGAACUAAAGGACGCAGCUUUGCUUACUUGGAUUUACUUCCUUCUUCCGAAAAAUCUCUACCCAAGCUUUUCAGCACGUAUAACGGAUGUAUGUGGAAAGGUGGGAGGCUUAGAAUAGAGAAGGCAAAGGAACACUUUUUUCUUUGUUUGAAACGUGAGUGGGAAGAAGAUGCUACACUUGCCACUACUUCAACCCAUCCUCCUGUUACUGCAGCUGAAAUGACGAACUCCCUGAAAAGUCAGAAGAAAAACUGGAAGUUGGAUGAAACGCAGAUUCGGAUUUACUUCCCAAAAUUAGGAAAGAUAAAAUCAGUGCCUCUUAGAGGAACUGGCAAGCACAAAUACAGUUUUCAGCGAGUGGAAGUUCCUUCAUUACCCACCCAUUUUUGUGAUUGUGAAGAGCACUCUGGUCCUCCUUAUACAACCAAUCAAAAAUCACUUUGCAAUUAUGGAUCAAAGGAUGGUGGAAUGGACGAGAAAGAGCUGAACAUUAUGAAUUCAGUAUUGAACAGAAUUUUUGAGAGGGAGAACUACUCUGAGCAAGCUCCUAGGGAUUUUAAAUUAUCUAAGGAAGCUCGAAACUCAAAUGGUACAGUUGAUCAUUUGCAGAAUGAAAAGAAUCUAGUCAACCAAGUAACCGGAGAUGAUGAUAACCUCACUCUCAAUGUGGUGGCUGGUGCAAGUGAAAGAACCACUAUGGUAAAAGAUCCAAUCCAGGAAGCAAUGGCAGCUACUCAGGUUAAUGAGGAUUUUGUCGAUCAAGAAAUGGAUGACGAUGAUGAUAACCUUAUUAUCAAUGUAGUGGCUGGUGCAAAUGAUAAAAAUACUAUGUUCAAAGAUCCAACCCAGGAAGCAAUCGCAGCUCUUCAGAAUUCGCUAUCCAAGGAAUCACGACUUGCUACAGAUAAAGAAAAGCAAGGAAGGAAGAUAUCUUCAAACAGAAAGCGAAAAGCACCUUCAGAUGAUGAUGGUGAGGGACAUACUUUGCUACCUGAAGCAAAGCAGAAUCUGAAUGCUCUUACUUGUGAUAGAACAGAUGUGUGUCCUGCAGAAGUCAAACCAGGUAGCCAACCAUCAAAUAGAGGUGCCAAAUUCCCAAAGAAGUCUCCAUGGAAAGAUCUCGUUAGGGCGAGUAGUGGUGCUACAUUCAGUUUAUUGGAUAUUUUGCCAAGUGCUAUUCCUGGUAAAGAGAUGCAGUCUGGCCCUAAAGGUGUUAGUGAAUCCUACUUCACUGACAAAAAAGAUGAAGUAUCAAAAGAUGAGAAAGUAUCUGAUCAGCAUGAAGAGCUGGAUAAAGUUGAAUCUGAAGAUGAAGUAUCAGAAGAUGAGAAAGUAUCUGAUCAGCAUGAAGAGCUGGAUAAUUUUGAAUCUGAAGAUGAAGUAUCAGAUCAGCAUGAAGAGCUGGAUAAUGUUGAAUCUGAAGAUGAAGUAUCAGAAGAUGAGAAAGUCUCAGAUCAGCAUGAAGAGGAUAAAGUUGAAUCUGAAGAUGAAUUAUCAAAAGAUGAGAAAGUAUCAGAUCAGCAUGAAGAGCUGGAUAAAAUUGCUGAAGAUCCAAUUGACAAUUUAGAUGGCCCUGUAGAUAUUUAUGCCAGAGGUGCUGCAUGGCGAAAACAAUCUUCUUGGACACAAUUGGUUAGUGAUACCGCCAGAAAUUCGUUCAGCAUUUCACAAAUUUUGUAUGGUCGAAGUAUUCCAGAACCAGAGUUGCCAGUGAUGGGGGAGACUGGAAAAGCACAAAAAUCUAACAGCACGGAUAAAUGUGAUUUCCAAGAUGUUUCUACAUCUCAUGAAGGGACCAAAGCCGAUGCCUUUAGUGCCCUUGGAACUUGCAGUGCGAGUGUCAUUGUAGGGGAGCAGAAGAACGUUCCUUUCAGUCAAGAUCUUCCAGUGUUGGACAACUAUCAGCAGAAAGGAAAAAUGAAGAAUGAAGCCUGUGCUCCAACUCCCGAAAAGGAACCCCUAUCUUCACCAAAACAAGCAAUUUUAGGAGAUCCUAAUUACAGCGAAACUUGUUCUUUCAUGAGGAGUGCUGCUUCAAUGAAAGAGUGGACGAAAACAAAAGCUGCACUAAGUGGGUCACUCAAGAAGAAGACUAAUGAGAAAAAGUAGUGGAGAUUUCAGGAUAGCUUCAUGGAACAUGUGACGGCUUCCAGUUACAUGGACAACGCACUCCCUUUUCAUUUAGCCCAUGUUGCAAGGUGAGUGCAAAGUUGUAAGAGAAACCAGAAAUCUGGUAAAUGAUUGGUAAACACAACCUUGAGUGCCACACCCACUCUUCCCUCAGAAAAAAGGUAAAAAAUGAUGAAGGAAGAGGAAGAAACAGAGACUGAUUUUCUUCGCACGGUAAAUUGCUCUGCUUGGCAUGAAAAGUCAGUGGUGAGUCUUGUGCAGUGGCAGAUCUUAAAAUAGGUCAAGCCAAGUGCCACUAUUAGAGCAUUAUGAAAUUCCUUGAUUAUGUCAUUCUGUGCUUACCAAUAGUAAUAUACUGAUAUUGGUUCUUGAACUCAAAUCUUUAUUUAAGCAGAAAGAGCAGAAUUUUGAGAAGUUAUCAAAUGAUUUUGGGUCGAAGAGAUGACAGAAUUCUGAAACUGAAUUUAUAGAGCCUUCUUAGGUGGCAACGUUUUAAACAUUGGAUGUGUAAUUCUUAAGCAUCAGUAAAUGUUUUAAAACUUGAGAAGAAGACUGGUAACCAUUGAACAGUCUCACUUGAAUGCCAAUAUUGUUGAAUUUGUGCAAUCACCAACUUUUGACACUUUUAGAUAGAGCACUACUUAUUGGAUUUUAUCGUUUCUACUUU